AAGAUUUGCAAAACAAAUGUCCACACAUGGUCUGCAUUGGAUUGAUGAGAAGGAGAUGACAGCUAAUAAACAAGACGAUGAAAAUUGGUGGUUGACAUGCUCCAGGCAAGCAAGGUGGUUCCAGAUUUAAGGUCGAAAAGGUAACUUAUUGGAAUCGACUUAACUAGAUUUUU